GUAGUUGUAGUUUAAUUAAAACAUUAGAUUGUGGUUCUAAAAAUAAAAGUUAAAUCCCUUUCAACUACCC
rnacentral:tRNA from 1 species